UAGAAAGAGAGAUUAUAGAAAGAAAGAGACAACAGGGGUAAACAAGAGCAAUAUAAGCAACAGAGAGAAAAAGAAAAGAACAGAAAAAGAGCGGCUGUGCGCGCAAGAGAACGGUCUGGAAAGACGUGCCACGCGCGUAAGCCGAGAGUGGGUUUAGUUGGUAGGCAUUGUAACACGGAUUCAUCCGGGGGCAAGGCCUCCAGUGGGGGAACGGGGAACUGCGUUCGGAUGUACUCCGUUUACUCUGAAUCCAACAUACGCCAGGUACGAUUCAUCUUGUACGGUCUUUAGAAGAUUCCCACUCUCACACAAAAAAAA
rnacentral:lncRNA from 1 species